rnacentral:lncRNA from 1 species
GAGUAGAUCUAUUGUUGAGAGGAACCAUAGGAUAGGAUGAAAAGGGGUUGGGGUUGGGUGUUUGAUGAGUUCAGAGGGAGGUGGGCCGCAUCUGGAGGCGCGGUUUAGAAGUGUCGCAACUCAGAGUCGCGGUUGAGGGGUGCCGCACCUGGGAGGUGCGGCUGUGCGUAACCGCAUUUGGGAGAUGCAGAUAUGGUUAGCCGCAGUUGGGAGACGCGGCAAACAAGCUGCGGCAGAGGGGGUGCGUUGCGAGUUGCGAGUUGCGGCAGAGGAAGGUGAGUUGCGGCAGAGGGAGAGGGAGGUGAGUUGCGG